rnacentral:rRNA from 1 species
AUUGAACGCUGGCGGCAUGCUUUACACAUGCAAGUCGACCGGUAACAGGCCGCAAGGUGCUGACGAGUGGCGCACGGGUGAGUAAUGCAUCGGAACGUGCCCAGUCGUGGGGGAUAACUACUCGAAAGAGUAGCUAAUACCGCAUACGAUCUAUGGAUGAAAGCGGGGGACCGUAAGGCCUCGCGCGAUUGGAGCGGCCGAUGUCAGAUUAGGUAGUUGGUGGGGUAAAGGCUCACCAAGCCAACGAUCUGUAGCUGGUCUGAGAGGACAACCAGCCACACUGGAACUGAGACACGGCCCAGACUCCUACGGGAGGCAGCAGUGGGGAAUUUUGGACAAUGGGCGCAAGCCCGAUCCAGCAAUGCCGCGUGCAGGAAGAAGGCCUUCGGGUUGUAAACUGCUUUUGUACGGAACGAAACGGCUCUGGUUAAUACCCGGGGCUAAUGACGGUACCGUAAGAAUAAGCACCGGCUAACUACGUG